GCCAUUGUUUAAUAGUUUUAUUAAAUAAAAGUUUUGCGUGGAAACUAAAUGGACUAGCGAGAAGAUGCAAUGCACCCUGUCAAAUUGUGUUAACAUUGAUGAAACUGAAAACUGUAUACCAUCAUCAUUAAAAGCAUGGAUUGACAAAGAGCUAAGAAGUGGAGUAGUUUACAAAAUUCAAUGUCCAUGCUAUAACACAUGCUAUGUUGGACAAACAGUCAGGCAUUUAAUUACUCGCUUCAAAGAACACCUGUAAGCCUCGACACCAGUUAGAUAACAUGCCAAGCGUUGCUGUAACCUGGAAAUUACAAACAACAAACUCUCAAUCUUAGGGUAAGCACACCGCUGUGCAGAAUAUUUAAUGACUUUGGAAGCUCUGUGGGUCAGGGCAAUCAAACCCACUUUAAACACCAAAGAUGAGUACAGAAGCAGGGUGUUAACAAUACAAGUUUAGCUGUUGUAUAUAAUGUAAACCACUAACAUUUUCUUUUAAACUAAUUAAAUGUUAUUCCCUGGUGUGAUUUUAACAUUUAAUUAUGCUCAUAACUUGAAAUGUUGAUAGAUUUUAUCUAUAUAAAUUUUGUAAAAAUUGUUUUUUGCUUUUUAGUAAGUAUGAAUAAAUUGUAUUUAUUGCUUUUAUUUAUUUUAGUUAUCUUGAUGAUGGAAGAAAAUUCCGAAAUAUAUUGAUAAAAAAUAAA